GCGCUUUUUCUGCAGUUCAGGCGAAGGC
rnacentral:sRNA from 1 species